rnacentral:misc_RNA from 1 species
GAUGAAGAACGCAGCGAAAUGCGAUAAGUAAUGUGAAUUGCAGAAUUCAGUGAAUCAUCGAAUCUUUGAACGCACAUUGCGCCCCGUGGUAUACCGCGGGGCAUGCCUGUUCGAGCGUCAUUACACCACUCAAGCCUCGCUUGGUAUUGGGCGACGCGGUACGCCGCGCGCCUCAAAUCUUCCGGCUGGUUCGAAUCGUCCCUCAGCGUUGUGGAAACUAUUCGCUAAAGGUGCGCGUUUCGGUCACGCCGUUAAACAAGCCAAUUUCAUUAAAGGUUGACCUCGGAUCAGGUAGGGAUACCCGCUGAACUUAAGCAUAUCAAUAAGCGGAGGA